GUGCCUCAAGCACCCGGGCCAGCUCUUUCCGUGUGUGGGCCCGGGAUAUCCGCACAGCGGAGGGCACUACACCAAACCACCAUUCAGUAGAUUAUCCCACGGCUGCUUCUAUCUAACCGGCCUUCGGACAUGAGCCUGGACGGAUAUCC
rnacentral:snoRNA from 1 species